GGAGGAAAGAAACCAACAGGGAUUGCCCUAGUAACGGCGAGUGAAGCGGCAACAGCUCAAAUUUGAAAUCUGGCUCUCUUUGGGGGUCCGAGUUGUAAUUUGCAGAGGGUGCUUUGGCAUUGGCGGCGGUCUAAGUUCCUUGGAACAGGACAUCGCAGAGGGUGAGAAUCCCGUACGUGGGCGCCUGCCUUUGCCGUGUAAAGCCCCUUCGACGAGUCGAGUUGUUUGGGAAUGCAGCUCUAAAUGGGAGGUAAAUUUCUUCUAAAGCUAAAUACCGGCCAGAGACCGAUAGCGCACAAGUAGAGUGAUCGAAAGAUGAAAAGUACUUUGGAAAGAGAGUCAAAUAGCACGUGAAAUUGUUGAAAGGGAAGCGCUUGCAGCCAGACUUGCCCGCAGUUGCUCACCUAGGCUUUGGCCUGGGGCACUCUUCUGUGGGCAGGCCAGCAUCAGUUUGGGCGGUUGGAUAAAGGCCUCUGUCACGUAUCUCCCUUCGGGGAGACCUUAUAGGGGAGGCGUAAUGCAACCAGCCCGGACUGAGGUCCGCGCAUCUGCUAGGAUGCUGGCGUAAUGGCUGUAAGCGGCCCGUCUUGAAACACGGACCAAGGAGUCUAACAUCUAUGCGAGUGUUUGGGUGUCAAGCCCGGGCGCGCAAUGAAAGUGAACGGAGGUGGGAACCCUUUGGGUGCACCAUCGACCGAUCCUGAUGUCUUCGGAUGGAUUUGAGUAAGAGCAUAGCUGUUGGGACCCGAAAGAUGGUGAACUAUGCUUGAAUAGGGUGAAGCCAGAGGAAACUCUGGUGGAGGCUCGCAGCGGUUCUGACGUGCAAAUCGAUCGUCAAAUUUGGGCAUAGGGGCGAAAGACUAAUCGAACCUCUAGUAGCUGUC
rnacentral:rRNA from 1 species